CAGCCCGGCGUGGUGCCUCGCUCUGAAGUGCACCUGUUGGCUACGCUGGUUUCUGAGCCACUCAGAGGAAGAUAUCGGAAGGUAAAAGUGCAUCUCCUGGUUGUGCCCUUAGGCAUCUAUCGAGCUGUGCCUAUUCGAGUCAAUCCAAGAGUGAGUAAUGUGAAGUCUGUCUACAAAACCCACAUUGAUGUCAUUCAUUAUCGGAAAACGGAUGCGAAACGUCUGCAUGGCCUUGAUGAAGAAGCAGAACAGAAACUUUUUUCAGAGAAACGUGUGGAAUUGCUUAAGGAACUUUCCAGGAAACCAGACAUUUAUGAGAGGCUUGCUUCAGCCUUGGCUCCAAGCAUUUAUGAACAUGAAGAUAUAAAGAAGGGAAUUUUGCUUCAGCUCUUUGGCGGGACAAGGAAGGAUUUUAGUCACACUGGAAGGGGCAAAUUUCGGGCUGAGAUCAACAUCUUGCUGUGUGGCGACCCUGGUACCAGCAAGUCCCAGCUGCUGCAGUACGUGUACAACCUCGUCCCCAGGGGCCAGUACACGUCUGGGAAGGGCUCCAGUGCAGUUGGCCUCACUGCGUAUGUAAUGAAAGACCCUGAGACAAGGCAGCUGGUCCUGCAGACAGGUGCUCUUGUCCUGAGUGACAACGGCAUCUGCUGUAUCGAUGAGUUCGACAAGAUGAAUGAAAGUACAAGAUCGGUAUUGCAUGAAGUCAUGGAACAGCAGACUCUGUCCAUUGCAAAGGCUGGGAUCAUCUGUCAGCUCAAUGCGCGCACCUCUGUCCUGGCAGCAGCAAAUCCCAUUGAGUCUCAGUGGAAUCCUAAAAAAACAACCAUUGAAAACAUCCA
rnacentral:sRNA from 1 species